UAGGGAAUCUUCGGCAAUGGACGAAAGUCUGACCGAGCAACGCCGCGUGAGUGAAGAAGGUUUUCGGAUCGUAAAGCUCUGUUGUAAGAGAAGAACGAGUGUGAGAGUGGAAAGUUCACACUGUGACGGUAUCUUACCAGAAAGGGACGGCUAACUACGUGCCAGCAGCCGCGGUAAUACGUAGGUCCCGAGCGUUGUCCGGAUUUAUUGGGCGUAAAGCGAGCGCAGGCGGUUAGAUAAGUCUGAAGUUAAAGGCUGUGGCUUAACCAUAGUACGCUUUGGAAACUGUUUAACUUGAGUGCAAGAGGGGAGAGUGGAAUUCCAUGUGUAGCGGUGAAAUGCGUAGAUAUAUGGAGGAACACCGGUGGCGAAAGCGGCUCUCUGGCUUGUAACUGACGCUGAGGCUCGAAAGCGUGGGGAGCAAACAGGAUUAGAUACCCUGGUAGUCCACGCCGUAAACGAUGAGUGCUAGGUGUUAGACCCUUUCCGGGGUUUAGUGCCGCAGCUAACGCAUUAAGCACUCCGCCUGGGGAGUACGACCGGCAAGGUUG
rnacentral:rRNA from 1 species